ensembl:snoRNA LOC120093457 small nucleolar RNA SNORA17
GUGGCUCCUACAAGUGAUGCAGGUGUGGCGGCUGUGUCAUACGUGUGCCAGUAGGUGGCAGAGAGGAGACAGGCUAUGUCUACACUCAGCAUUCUGAUCUAUGGACAUCUGAAAGUAAGCAAGCAAGCAAG